AGUGAACGCUGGCGGCAGGCCUAACACAUGCAAGUCGAACGGUAACAGGAUACAGCUUUCUGUUUCGCUGAGGAGUGUCGGACGGGGGUGAGAUGUCUGGGAGACUGCCUUUUUUCGUGGGGGAACUACUGGGAACGCUUACUAAUACCGCAUAACCGCGCUAGGCCAAAAAGGGGGGGCCCCUCGGCUCUUGCCCGCUUGUUUGCCCCGAUGGGGUUAGCUUUUUUGGGGGGUAACGGCUCACCAAGGCGACGAGCUCCAGCUGGGCUGAGAGGAUGAUCAGCCACACUGGAACUGAGACACGGUCCAGACUCCUACGGGAGGCAGCAGUGGGGAAUAUUGGACAAUGGGCGCAAGCCUGAUGCAGCCAUGCCGCGUGUAUGAAGAAGGCCUUCGGGUUGUAAAGUCCUUUCAGCGGGGAGGAAGAGAAUAAAGUUAAUACCCUGCCUUACUGACGGUACCCGAAGAAGAAGCACCGGCUAACUUCGUG
rnacentral:rRNA from 1 species